GACGGAGGAUGCAAGCGUUAUCCGGAAUUAUUGGGCGUAAAGCGUCCGCAGGUGGACAUACAAGUCUGCUGUCAAAGUGCAGAGCUUAACUCUGUAAAGGCGGUGGAAACUGUAGGUCUUGAGUAUGGUAGGGGUAGAGGGAAUUCCCGGUGUAGCGGUGAAAUGCGUAGAGAUCGGGAAGAACAUCGGUGGCGAAAGCGCUCUACUGGACGGUAUCUGACACUGAGGGACGAAAGCUAGGGGAGCGAAUGGG
rnacentral:rRNA from 1 species